GACGAACGCUGGCGGCGUGCCUAAUACAUGCAAGUCGAGCGGAGCGGAGGAAGCUUGCUUCCAAAGCUCAGCGGCGGACGGGUGAGUAACACGUGGGUAACCUGCCUGGCAGACUGGGAUAACGCUUGGAAACGAGUGCUAAUACCGGAUAGUCUUCUGAACCGCAUGGUUCGGAAGGGAAAGAGGCUUUCGCCUCACUGUCAGAUGGACCCGCGGCGCAUUAGCUAGUUGGUGAGGUAACGGCUCACCAAGGCGACGAUGCGUAGCCGACCUGAGAGGGUGACCGGCCACACUGGGACUGAGACACGGACCAGACUCCCACGGGGGGCAGCAGUAGGGAAUCUUCCACAAUGGGCGAAAGCCUGAUGGAGCAACGCCGCGUGAGUGAUGAAGGCCUUUGGGUUGUAAAACUCUGUCUUCUGUGACGAACAAGCCUGUGAGUGGAAUGCUCAGGCCCUGACGGUAACAGAGGAGGAAGCCACGGCUAACUACGUGCCAGCCGCCGCAGUAA
rnacentral:rRNA from 1 species